rnacentral:lncRNA from 11 species
UUUCUCUGAAACGGUCAUUGUCAGUCAUGACCAAAGUUGAAAAGUGAAAAACAGGACAGGGAUCCUUUUUUAUUAAAGAGUGGCCAGAGUGAAAACUGGAAAACUGGAGACGGCUCUAGCAUCUUUCAUAAUCAUGCAGAAGAAGGAGAAGGAGAAGGAGAAGGAGAAGGAGAAGGAGAAGGAGAAGGAGAAGGAGAAGAAGGAGAAGGAGAAGAAGAUAUUAUCAGGUGUUGUUUGAUCUGUAACCAUGAGCAGCUGCAGAAAGUCCCUCCUUUACACAUUCAUCCAUCAUCACUAAAUUUAUGUCCUAUAUCCCGCCUUUCUCUAAGUGUGUAUUUUCAUGGAAGAAUCAAUGCAUUUAACAACAACAACAACUUAAUUUUUUUACCUGCCACCAUCUCCUUGAGGGGACUCACGGUGGCUUACAUACGGAACCAAUCCCAGAGCAAACAACUAAAAACACAUCUAAAAACAUAACAUAUCAAAAUCUAAUUGAAUAAUUAAAAACAGCAGAGUAUACAAACAUGAAAUAUAUAAAAGCACACCUCAACACGUACUUUGACCUUCUCUGCCUAUGUGCAAACUCGAACUCCCAUUAUUGUAUAGCAUUGAGCCAUGGCGAUUAAAAUAGUGCCAAACUCCAUUAAUUCUACAGUGUAGAUGCAAUCUUAUAUUAGAAAUGAAUGUGUAAAAGGUACAACAGCCAUCUUCAG